UGAGGAAUAUUGCGCAAUGGGGGAAACCCUGACGCAGCGACGCCGCGUGAGUGAGGAAGGCCUUCGGGUCGUAAAGCUCUGUCAGAAGGGAAGAAGUGUUAUACGGUUAACACCCGUAUAAUUUGACGGUACCUUCAGAGGAAGCACCGGCUAACUCCGUGCCAGCAGCCGCGGUAAUACGGAGGGUGCUAGCGUUGUUCGGAAUUACUGGGCGUAAAGGGCGCGUAGGCGGCUGGAUAAGUCAGAUGUGAAAGUCCACGGCUCAACUGUGGAAGUGCAUUUGAAACUGUCCGGCUUGAGUAUCGGAGGGGAGUGUGGAAUUCCCGGUGUAGAGGUGAAAUUCGUAGAGAUCGGGAGGAACACCGGUGGCGAAGGCGACACUCUGGACGAAUACUGACGCUGAGGCGCGAAAGCGUGGGGAGCAAACAGGAUUAGAUACCCUGGUAGUCCACGCCGUAAACGAUGUGAACUAGAGGUAGGUGGUGUUGAUCCCACCUGUCUCGCAG
rnacentral:rRNA from 1 species